AUUGAACGCUGGCGGCAUGCUUUACACAUGCAAGUCGAACGGUAACAGGCCUUCGGGUGCUGACGAGUGGCGAACGGGUGAGUAAUGCAUCGGAACGUACCCAGAGGUGGGGGAUAACGCAGCGAAAGCUGUGCUAAUACCGCAUGUGAUCUGAGGAUGAAAGCGGGGGACCGAGCAGCAAUGUUUGGCCUCGCGCCUUUGUAGCGGCCGAUGUCGGAUUAGCUAGUUGGUGGGGUAAAGGCCUACCAAGGCGACGAUCCGUAGCUGGUCUGAGAGGACGACCAGCCACACUGGGACUGAGACACGGCCCAGACUCCUACGGGAGGCAGCAGUGGGGAAUUUUGGACAAUGGGCGCAAGCCUGAUCCAGCCAUGCCGCGUGCGGGAAGAAGGCCUUCGGGUUGUAAACCGCUUUUGGCAGGAACGAAACGGUGUCCGCUAAUACCGGGCGCUAAUGACGGUACCUGCAGAAUAAGCACCGGCUAACUACGUG
rnacentral:rRNA from 1 species